rnacentral:rRNA from 1 species
UAGGGAAUCUUCCACAAUGGGCGAAAGCCUGAUGGAGCAACGCCGCGUGUGUGAUGAAGGGUUUCGGCUCGUAAAACACUGUUGUAAGAGAAGAAUGACAUUGAGAGCAACUGUUCAAUGUGUGACGGUAUCUUACCAGAAAGGAACGGCUAAAUACGUACCAG